rnacentral:misc_RNA from 1 species
GCCAGCAAAGAAGCUUAGACACUACAGUCGUCAUCAGGUCCAGGCUGGCAACUGGCUGAAGCUGCUAGUGGCGGGCUUUGGGGUCAUCAUUGUACUGGUCGACAUUUCUUACAGACAAAAUUCUUUUUAUAGAUCGUGUGGCUGUUGUUUACCGUUAGCGUCCAGGUGACUGGACAUCACACACCUGAGUGAAUCGGAGAGCCACAGGGCGUGAAGAGGCCGCCAUGAGCCGGGCACUGGCACUGCUGUGUGUCUUUGGCUGUCUGUAUGGUGUCCUGGCAGACAUCUGUAACCAAACUGCACCAAGUGCUGCCAGCGCCCAAGACAGACCAUUAGGUCCAGGCAAAGUGGAGGUCCAGUUCUGGGCCAACAGCUGCACGGAAAAUGUCACCUGCACCUUGUGUCCUCCUAGCCAGACAGCCAAACCUCUUGAUGCACGUUUUAAGGAAAAUGGAGAAUCAACUUGCAUAUUUACAAAUUUGGCACAAAAUGUCCACUACACCGUAAAGUUUGCAUGUAGUGGAACUGCAGUUCAACAGAAAAAAAUUGACUACUAUUUUAACUCAGAACCUGUAAGAAGUAGCCCUGUUGUAAGUACUUGGUCCCGAUCAGCGAACAUCAUGAUGGAGGCCUUUUGUAUCGCCAUGAAAGUAGACAUCGGGUACAUGAUGGUCAACAUCAGAGGGGACAACAUGGACACGAGCUGUGUGGUGUUCCCGACGUGUGACUACUGUAAUCGCAGUUUAUGUCGUCAGCCUCCGUCAUCGUGUGGACAUCAAUCAAAAAUUGAUUUGGAGAAAUGCGAUGAACAGCCCGGCUACAUCAACAUCACUUUGCCCCUCGAUAAUCUUCGGCCAUCAACAGACUACACGUUUGACUUGUCUUACAUCUACUGUGACCUCAACACGAAUAUCAUCACGAUUUCUACCCUGAUUGCAACGACUGGCGCUGGUGAUCCAGUUGACGUUACAAACAUCAGCGCCACAUCCAUGGGAUCUAGAAGUGUCACUGUGACCUGGACCUUACCUUCUCCUGACCCCGCGAACUACACCCUGUACAUCAGAGACGGUGACCCUCGGGUCGGAGAGGCGGGAACAGGAUGUGACGUGGACACAACGUUGCCGAUCAUUAUACCCUGGAAUGUGACCACAUACAAGGAGAACUCUAUCCAAGGCCCCCGUGUCAUCCCGGUGCCCCACCCCUUCUGGCAAUACCAGGUGGCGGUGGUGAUGUCUACUGAAACAGGCAACUCCACCCCUCAGUGGGUUACAGUCAGAACUCUUCCUGAAAGCCCUGGUGCUGUUUCUCACCUGGAUGUAAACACAAGGAAGCUUGUAAAAGACAGUAUGAAGUGUGGCAAUGCACCCUGGGAGUCGUACAAUGAUGUCUGUGUGAUGUGGGAGGAGGUCUGUCCACGUGAGAGAGGCGACAACAUCACAACCUACGAAUACAGUCUUAGUAAUGGCGACACACAUGAGACAGAUUAUGUGAACUGUAAGCCGGGGGAUAACGAAGAGAAUCACGGGAUGCGCCAAGACAGGACAAGGACCACGUGCAGCCUCCUGCUUCCUGUGGACACAGGAUCCAGCUACACACUUUGUAUGACGGCGAUAGGACGGACAUACAAGGGUCUUACCAACUGUAUCAGUUUUCAAGUCCCGACGAUUAAACCAAACAUCACUGAUAAAGAACAACACCAAGCCCACGAAAUAUCGACACAAAGACAAAAGACAAGCUUCGCUCUUUCAUUGACAUCUUAUUGCUUCAUGACAUCGGACACCUAUGGAAGAGUAGUCAUAAAUGGAUUUGUGAUUUCCAAAAAAUCAUGGACAAAUGAAGGUAAUUUAUCUAAUCUACCGACAUGGUACAAUAGAUCCAUGGGCUACUACCAGAUUCGACCAUCUUUUUUAAAAAAUAAGGAGUCAUGUAGGAACAAACAAGACUUGAUUGUUGGUAAUGAGAACUGUGACAACCCACUGUACCAGCCAUACUGCAAUGGACCCCUUGAUCCUGGUUCCACAUACUCAGUUACUGGCUUUGUGUGUACAAAGGAUGGGUGCGAUGCAGUGCCUAUUGCCAAGGACAUAAGAACAGAAGAAGAGGCAGGUAUGUCAGUCACUACACUUGUGCUCAUGCUACUUGGUCUCCUGUGUAUUCCACUGCUCGGAUUCCUAUUUUAUCGCUUCCUCUGUAAUAACAGACGUGCUGACUUGCUAUGUACAAGGUCUGCUUGCUGUAAAGUACCCCGUGAAGAGGUCGUCAGAAAACCAGGGAAGUAACUUUCAUUCAGUCGACGGCGGGUUGUCUCUCUUGCUCCAAGAGUGGCAGUCCAGUGUUGUAAAACACAUUUUGUUCCAAAAGUCAGAAUAUCAAGAGCCAACGAAAGGAAAAAAUAAAGAUGGCAAAGAAAAUUACGACCAAGAGCAUCAAACCAACAGAGCCAAGGACUUGGGACCAAUCUUCAGUUUAAAUGUGCUGCCGACAUGGAGCCGGAUGCAGAUAACAUCAAUGUUUCUUAUACUAUAGUGACUGCAACUACAUCUCAGAUUUAAAUAAAAGAAUGAUUAAAACAUUAUUUUGGUUUUUCUGUUUGAGCUGUUAUUGAUAAAUUUAUUUGCUUUAUACAAUAUAUCGGCGUGCAUAUUUGUAGUAUUAAUAAGUUAGUGAGCUACAAGACAUUUGUGUGAGGGUCUUGCUGUUCUUUUCCUGUGGUGUUCAAGGGUUUGUAUAUCAACACGAUUUCUGUGACCAGUACUUCUGUUUCUUAUCACAUUAAUUGAUAUACAGCUUUCUGUCAACUAAAGUUAGCAUUUAAUUUUGAUACAAAACCCUUAAGAUACACUACAAUACAACACAACAUUAUUGAUUCCCAGGGACAAUUCCAAAUAGUGCUCGUACUAGUAUAUACUAGUAUAUACAUAUACGUAGUAUUAAAAAAAUUAUAUAAAUGUUUAUGUUGAAAUAGUGAUAUGUUAUUAUAUCACGAUAUAUUGAUUAAGGAUACAUUGUGAUUUUCACAGAAAAGUGUCCUACAUCAGAUUAUUGAAGAGUGUUCUGCCACAAAAGUAUGAUUAUUUUUACCAGGUUUACUCAAUCAACAUUAAAUCAAUUAAUUAUUUUAAUAAUUAAUAAUCAGUUAAUAACUGCAUACAAUCAAAUAAUACAUGCCGCUAACAUUUUUUCUUAUAUUUGUCUGAUAUGGCUGUGUCGUCUGACUUAUGUUAAAAUAUAAGUUCAAAGGUGAACAUUUCUCCCUCAGACACAUAAGGCACAUCAUGGACAAAGUAACAUUACUCCUGAUUAUUAUUCUUCUAGGAUA